UACGAAGGGGGCUAGCGUUGCUCGGAAUCACUGGGCGUAAAGGGUGCGUAGGCGGGUCUUUAAGUCAGGGGUGAAAUCCUGGAGCUCAACUCCAGAACUGCCUUUGAUACUGAGGAUCUUGAGUUCGGGAGAGGUGAGUGGAACUGCGAGUGUAGAGGUGAAAUUCGUAGAUAUUCGCAAGAACACCAGUGGCGAAGGCGGCUCACUGGCCCGAUACUGACGCUGAGGCACGAAAGCGUGGGGAGCAAACAGGAUUA
rnacentral:rRNA from 1 species